UGUCUCUGCUUUUGAAGCGUAGCUUCGUCUCUGCUUUUGAAGGUAGUUGUCUCUGCAUUUGAAGGUAGUUGUCUCUGCUUUUAAGCGUAGCUCGUCUCUGCU